rnacentral:rRNA from 1 species
CAAUAGCGUAUAUUUAAGUUGUUGCAGUUAAAAGCUCGUAGUUGGAUUUCGGUUGAGAGCGGCCGGUCCGCCGUUUGGUGUGCACUGGCUGGUCUCAACUUCCUGCGGAGGACGCGCUCUGGGCUUAACGGUCUGGACGUGGAGUCCGCGUGGUUACUUUGAAAAAUUAGAGUGUUCAAAGCGGGCUUACGCUUGAAUACAUGAGCAUGGAAUAAUGGAAUAGGACUUUGGUCCCAUUUUGUUGGUUUCUAGGGCCGAAGUAAUGAUUAAGAGGGACAAUUGGGGGCAUCCGUAUUUCGUUGUCAGAGGUGAAAUUCUUGGAUUUACGAAAGACGAACAACUGCGAAAGCACUUGCCAAGAGUGUUUUCAUUAAUCAAGAACGAAAGUUAGAGGAUCGAAGACGAUCAGAU